UUUUUGUGUAUUUUCAGGCACUGAAGUAUCCCUGUGGACCUGAUCUGAGCUGCUCUGGCACACUGACGUUGCAGUGAGUGGUGAAAGCAUCUGAGCCACAUGUUAUGCUGGUAUCCAUGUUAGGAAGAUGAUCUAGCAAAAACAGUGGGAUGGGGCUUGGAAGGUUCCUUGUUCUGAUGCUGAUCUUAACAGUUCACUGUCCACAGCCAGGAUCCGUCUGACCAAAGAUUUCCCUCACUGCUUUUUGAAUCUCCAGCAACCCCGAGCAGCCUCAUGUCAUUGCAAACCACACCUUUUCCUGAAGGAGGGAUGGAGCUUGAACACAAGUCUCAUUGUUUCCAGUUCAUUGUUCAAGAAUUCUGUCAUCUGUUUCUGUGGCUGAUUUAUUUGUUAACAAGAGAGCACUCGGGAAACUAUUCCUGUAUUGCUUUGUUACUUAUGUCGAUGCCCUUCUUUUUCUUUGAAAUAUUUAGGGGAAUCUAUGCACAGCUUACACUAGAUAUCAAGGAAACCAUGGUGGAAGAUUGACAUCUAAACAUACUCUGUUUCUUGUCAAAGUAAAGAUGUCAUCCCAGAUGCACCAAAAUGUUGCAGACAGAAUGUUGAGUUGCACUUAAUUUGGGCAACAAACAGUAAGAGCAGCCAAUGCUUAAUGAAGAUAAAUUGUUCUUCAGUUACUAGCAACGAUUCUUUGAAACAGUUACCCUGCAUUUAACAGUGAUCAUGUUACUCAAACACCUGAGUGUUUGCUGAUGAACGAAACAAUAAUAAAACAAUGCCUCUCUUC
rnacentral:lncRNA from 7 species